rnacentral:lncRNA from 1 species
CAUUAUCACCAUUUAAAAAAUUCUGCUAACUCUAGGGUGCGAAGGCUAGGAUUGCAGAAAAGAAUUUUAAUGUGUAACUUUUCCCAGUGAUAGCAACACUGUGGAACAAACACUGUUUUCUAUGGGAAGUCAUCUUUUACAUCUCUAAAAAUUUCUUGUGAAAUAACACACCCCCCCUGCAAAUAAUAAUAAAGAAAUCUGUUGAAGUAUAUGCAAGAAGCAAAACUGUCAGAGUCCCAAAUUAAAUUUGUCAUCAGUGAUAAAUUUAGUGCUGUAAGAUACUUUAAUAAGUGCUUCAGCUUGAUUUAUUGGUUUUGUUAGUUAACAAGAGUAUAUUACGUCUUGUACAGAACUUAGCAGAAGCAAUUUCUGACUAGAGCUUCCUUGAUUAAAAAAAAAUGAUGUCUCAUUUUAGUCGCUGUGGUAAUUAUUUUAGUGCCAAAUUGGAAGGUAAGCACAUGCAGUUCUGUCAUU